rnacentral:rRNA from 1 species
CCUACGGGGGGCUGCAGUGAGGAAUAUUGGUCAAUGGGCGUAAGCCUGAACCAGCCAAGUCGCGUGAGGGAUGAAUGCCCUAUGGGUUGUAAACCUCUUUUAUAAGGGAAUAAAGUGCGGGACGUGUCCCGUUUUGUAUGUACUUUAUGAAUAAGGAUCGGCUAACUCCGUGCCAGCAGCCGCGGUAAUACGGAGGAUCCGAGCGUUAUCCGGAUUUAUUGGGUUUAAAGGGUGCGUAGACGGCUUUUUAAGUCAGCGGUGAAAGUCUGUGGCUCAACCAUAAAAUUGCCGUUGAGACUGGGAGGCUUGAGUAUAGUUGAGGUAGGCGGAAUGCGUGGUGUAGCGGUGAAAUGCUUAGAUAUCACGAAGAACCCCGAUUGCGAAGGCAGCCUGCCAAGCCAUGACUGACACUGAUGCACGAAAGCGUGGGGAUCAAACAGGAUUAGAUACCCUAGUAGUC